CUGUUAGAGGAAUGAUGUAUUAUUCUAGAGCUCUGAAGCUGCUGACGUUCCUUGAUUCUGCAUCAGAGAUUGACAUCAAAAG